AUUGAACGCUGGCCGCAGGCCUAACCCAUGCCAGUCGAAAGAGUGGCGGACGGGUGAGUAAUGUCUGGGAAACUGCCUGCUGGAGGGGGAUAACUACUGGAAACGGUAGCUACUACCGCAUACCAUCAGAUGUGCCCACAUGGGAUUAGCUAGUAGGUGAGGUAACGGCUCACCUAGGCGACGCUCCCUAGCUGGUCUGAGAGGAUGACCAGCCACACUGGAACUGAGACAGGGUCCAGACUCCUACGGGAGGCAGCAGUGGGGAAUAUUGCACAAUGGGCGCAAGCCUGAUGCAGCCAUGCCGCGUGUAUGAAGAAGGCCUUCGGGUUGUAAAGUACUUUCAGCGGGGAGGCGUUACCCGCAGAAGAAGCACCGGCUAACUCCGUGCCAGCAGCCGCGGUAAUUC
rnacentral:rRNA from 1 species